rnacentral:rRNA from 1 species
UACGUAGGGUGCGAGCGUUGUUCGGAAUCACUGGGCGUAAAGGGCGUGUAGGCGGUCAAGUAAGUGGAAUGUGAAACGCCUCGGCUUACCCGAGGACCUGCAUCCCAAACUGCUUGGCUUGAGUAUGGGAGAGGAUGAGGGAAUUCCUGGUGUAGCGGUGAAAUGCGUAGAUAUCAGGAGGAACACCGGUGGCGAAAGCGCUCAUCUGGCCCAAUACUGACGCUGAGGCGCGAAAGCUAGGGGAGCAAACGGG